CGUAGAGUUUGAGUCCUGGCGUCAGGACAACGGCUGGCGGCGUGCUUAACACAUGCAAGUCGAACGAGGUCCAUUGCGAGCUUGCUCAAGAGAAGACCUAGUGGCGAACGGGUGCGUAACACGUGAGAAACCUGCCCGAACUUGGGAAUAACAGUCGAAACGGCUGCUAAUACCGAAUAUCUCCGUAGCGUCGCAUGGCGCAUCGAAGAAAGCUUUUGCGGUUUGGGAGGGUCUCGCGGCCUAUCAGCUAGUUGGUGAGGUAACGGCUCACCAAGGCAUCGACGGGUAGCUGGUCUGAGAGGAUGAUCAGCCACACUGGGACUGAGACACGGCCCAGACUCCUACGGGAGGCAGCAGUGGGGAAUAUUGCACAAUGGGCGAAAGCCUGAUGCAGCAACGCUGCGUGCGGGAAGAAGGCCCUAGGGUUGUAAACCGCUUUCAGCAGGGAAGAAACUGACGGUACCUGCAGAAGAAGGUGCGGCCAACUACGUG
rnacentral:rRNA from 1 species